rnacentral:rRNA from 1 species
GACGAACGCUGGCGGCGUGCUUAACACAUGCAAGUCGAACGGAAAGGCCCUGCUUUUGUGGGGUGCUCGAGUGGCGAACGGGUGAGUAACACGUGAGUAACCUGCCCUUGACUUUGGGAUAACUUCAGGAAACUGGGGCUAAUACCGGAUAGGAGCUCCUGCUGCAUGGUGGGGGUUGGAAAGUUUCGGCGGUUGGGGAUGGACUCGCGGCUUAUCAGCUUGUUGGUGGGGUAGUGGCUUACCAAGGCUUUGACGGGUAGCCGGCCUGAGAGGGUGACCGGCCACAUUGGGACGGUGAUACGGCCCAGACUCCUACGGGAGGCAGCAGUGGGGAAUAUUGCACAAUGGGCGGAAGCCUGAUGCAGCAACGCCGCGUGCGUGAUGACGGCCUUCGGGUUGUAACCCGCUUUCGCCUGUGACGAAGCGUGAGUGACGGUAAUGGGUAAAGAAGCACCGGCUAACUACGUG